AUUGAACGCUGGCGGCAGGCCUAACACAUGCAAGUCGAGCGAGAAAGGUCUUCGGGCUGAGUACAGCGGCGGACGGGUGAGUAACGCGUAGGAAUCUACCUGGUAGUGGGGGACAACAUGGUGAAAACCAUGCUAAUACCGCAUACGCCCUAUGGGGAAAAGCGGGGGACCUUCGGGCCUCGCGCUAUCAGAUGAGCCUGCGUAGGAUUAGCUUGUUGGUGAGGUAAAGGCUCACCAAGGCGACGAUCCUUAGCUGGUCUGAGAGGAUGAUCAGCCACACUGGAACUGAGACACGGUCCAGACUCCUACGGGAGGCAGCAGUGGGGAAUAUUGCGCAAUGGGCGAAAGCCUGACGCAGCCAUGCCGCGUGUGUGAAGAAGGCCC
rnacentral:rRNA from 1 species